GACGAACGCUGGCGGCGUGCCUAAUACAUGCAAGUCGAACGCAUUUUCUUUCACCGUAGCUUGCUACACCGAAAGAAAAUGAGUGGCGAACGGGUGAGUAACACGUGGGCAACCUGCCCAUCAGCGGGGGAUAACACUUGGAAACAGGUGCUAAUACCGCAUAAUUCCAUUUACCGCAUGGUAGAUGGAUGAAAGGCGCUUUUGCGUCACUGAUGGAUGGACCCGCGGUGCAUUAGCUAGUUGGUGGGGUAACGGCCUACCAAGGCUGCGAUGCAUAGCCGACCGGCGAGGGUGGUCAGCCACACUGGGACUGAGACACGGCCCAGACGCCUACGGGAGGCAGCAGGAGGGAAUCUUCGGCAAGGGACGCAAGUCUGACCGAGCAACGCCGCGGGAGUGAAGAAGGUUUUCGGAUCGUAAAACUCUGUUGUUAGAGAAGAACAAGGAUGAGAGUGGAAAGUUCAUCCCUUGACGGUAUCUAACCAGAAAGCCACGGCUAACUACGUG
rnacentral:rRNA from 1 species